rnacentral:lncRNA from 1 species
AGCAUUACUGUCAGCAACACGGAGGUCAUCUUAUUACCAUAGAGAGUCUAUUAGAGACGAAAAAUGAAAACCUGUUCAUCAAAGCCUUUUACGCGGCCUGAAAGGCGAAUAUCAUUGGUUAGGCCUAACUGACGAGAUGGUAGAGGGAGUUUGGAAAUGGUAUACAUCAAAUAGAGAUGUAACAUACACAGAUUGGUAUCCUGGUGAACCAAACUCACACAGGGGGAUCUGAAGAAGACUGUG